rnacentral:rRNA from 1 species
ACACUUGGUCCAAGAGCGAGCGGACAGAUGGGAGCUUGCUCCCUGAUGUUAGCGGCGGACGGGUGAGUAACACGUGGGUAACCUGCCUGUAAGACUGGGAUAACUCCGGGAAACCGGGGCUAAUACCGGAUGGUUGUUUGAACCGCAUGGUUCAAACAUAAAAGGUGGCUUCGGCUACCACUUACAGAUGGACCCGCGGCGCAUUAGCUAGUUGGUGAGGUAACGGCUCACCAAGGCAACGAUGCGUAGCCGACCUGAGAGGGUGAUCGGCCACACUGGGACUGAGACACGGCCCAGACUCCUACGGGAGGCAGCAGUAGGGAAUCUUCCGCAAUGGACGAAAGUCUGACGGAGCAACGCCGCGUGAGUGAUGAAGGUUUUCGGAUCGUAAAGCUCUGUUGUUAGGGAAGAACAAGUACCGUUCGAAUAGGGCGGUACCUUGACGGUACCUAACCAGAAAGCCACGGCUAACUACGUGCCAGCAGCCGCGGUAAUACGUAGGUGGCAAGCGUUGUCCGGAAUUAUUGGGCGUAAAGGGCUCGCAGGCGGUUUCUUAAGUCUGAUGUGAAAGCCCCCGGCUCAACCGGGGAGGGUCAUUGGAAACUGGGGAACUUGAGUGCAGAAGAGGAGAGUGGAAUUCCACGUGUAGCGGUGAAAUGCGUAGAGAUGUGGAGGAACACCAGUGGCGAAGGCGACUCUCUGGUCUGUAACUGACGCUGAGGAGCGAAAGCGUGUGGAGCGAACAGGAUUAGAUACCCUGGUAGUCCACGCCGUAAACGAUGAGUGCUAAGUGUUACGGGGUCUCCGCCCCUUAGUGCUGCACUAACGCAUUAAGCACUCCGCCUGGGGAGUACGGUCGCAGACUGAAACUCAAGGAAUUGACGGCGUCCGCACAAACGGUGGAUCAUGUGGUUUAUUCGAGCACGCGCAGAACCUGACCACGGCUGGACAUCUCUCGACAGCCUAAAGAAGGACGUCCCCCUCCAGGGGCCAGUGACAG